rnacentral:rRNA from 1 species
UACGUAGGGUGCGAGCGUUAAUCGGAAUUACUGGGCGUAAAGCGUGCGCAGGCGGUUUUGCAAGCCGGAUGUGAAAUCCCCGGGCUCAACCUGGGAAUGGCAUUCGGGACUGCAAGGCUGGAGUGCGGCAGAGGAGACUGGAAUUCCCGGUGUAGUGGUGGAAUGCGUAGAUAUCGGGAGGAACACCAGUGGCGAAGGCGGCGACCUGGAGCUUUGCUGACGCUGAGGCGCGAAAGCGUGGGGAGCGAUCCGG